rnacentral:rRNA from 1 species
GGCGAACGCUGGCGGCGUGCUUAACACAUGCAAGUCGAACGGGCCUUGUCCCCUUUUUUUUGGGGGUGGGGUUAGUGGCGAACGGGUGAGUAACACGUGAGUAACCUGCCCCUCACUUCUGGAUAACCGCUUGAAAGGGUGGCUAAUACGGGGUGUUCUGGCCUGCUCGCAUGGGUGGGUUUAGAAAGAUUCGACCGGUUUUGGUUGUUUUGGUGGGGGAUGGGCUCGCGGCCUAUCAGCUUGUUGGUGGGGUGAGGGCCUGCCAAGGCUUUGACGGGUAGCCGGCUUGGGAGGGUGGGCGGUCACACGGGGAGUGAGCCACGGCCAGGACUCCGACGGGGGGCAGAAUGGGGGAAUAGGGAACAGUGGGGGCAAGCCUGAUGCGGCGACGCGGCGGGAGGAAUGGAGCCCUGCGGGUGGUGACCCCCUUUCGCAAGUAAAAAAGGUCCUGCUUUUUGGGGGGGGGUGGACGGUAGCUGGGUGAAGAAGCCCCGGCUAAAUAAGUU